AGAUUAUGAUUGUUGUUUAUUGAGAGUUGUAUGUGUGUUCUGAUAGAAGAAGUUUGUGAUUAUAGAAAUUAUGUGAAUCCAGAUUCGUUGGAGUGAAGUCUGUCAUUUUUGGUGUUGGAUGGAGAUUAUUAUGUUUUGAGUAGUCUUUUAAGAGUGUAGAGUUACACAUUGUGGUUAUCAGUUGAUGAAGGAGUAUUGUUAUUGGAAGAAAGUAUUAUAGUAUUUUUUGGUAUUUUAGUGGCUUGGAUUACGGUUAAUUGAGUGACCCUAACUUGUAAGCUCAUGCGCUAGUCUUUUCCUCAAUUCGAAUAGCCUUCUACAAGUUUAUUCUGAAAGAAAUUUGUAGAAUAAAUAAAACGAUAAUUAUAUUUUGGUGCCA
rnacentral:lncRNA from 1 species